rnacentral:rRNA from 1 species
UACAGAGGGUGCGAGCGUUAAUCGGAAUUACUGGGCGUAAAGCGUGCGUAGACGGUUAUCUAAGUCGGAUGUGAAAGCCCCGGGCUCAACCUGGGAAUUGCAUUCGAGACUGAAUAGCUAGGGUGCGGUAGAGGGAAGCGGAAUUUCCGGUGUAGCGGUGAAAUGCGUAGAUAUCGGAAGGAACAUCAGUGGCGAAAGCGGCUUCCUGGACCAGCACCGACGUUCAGGCACGAAAGCGUAGGGAGCAAACAGG